UUUUUUUUUUUCCUGGUCCCCAACCCUAUGUGCUUUGUCAUCAUUCACUAUUACAUUUCACUAUCUGUAGCUAUGUAGUUUUCCAUACACUCUUCCCUAUGCAGACAAUUAAGAACACUGCCCUAGCAUUUCAAGGUUACUUCAGAAUUUAAUUGUGGAUAUAUGCCUCUUGUGCUGAGCAAAGGAGCAGGUCUAGCAGGAAGUAGGGUAGCAAAGUGGAAAGAGCAAACUUUGAAAUUAGAAAGAUUUGUGUUCACAUUCUUAGUUUACCACAGACUCACUUUAUAACCCUGAACAAACUGCUAUAAAUCUCUGAACCUCACUUUUCCCACCUGUAAAAUGGAGAUAACUGUGCCUAUCUUGAAGUAUAUCAAGAUAGUUGACAAGUGAAGUCAAGGAACCUACAAAAUAAAAGCACGCAGAAGAUACUCAAGAAGUUAGAGCUUUUAUCAUUAGCAGCACCACCCACUUAAAAUUUAAAGCUCUACAUCUAUUUCCUAAGCUCACGUAUAAUCAGACUGUUGUUUUUUCACCAUAUUUCAUUGACAUUGUUGUGAUAUGGGGUGAAGGCUAAGUCCCCAAUUAUUCCAUCUUAUAUCUGACUUGGCAGGAUGUCACAUAGAGUACUUAAAAAAAAAAAAACCCUGAGCUCCCUUUAGAGACCACAAUAAAAGAAGGUUAAGGGUAGAAUCAGAAAAUCAAUUUAGUUUCCAUCCAGGUAGGCUUUUUGCUAUAAUGUUUCUUGAACAACAUAAUGGCUCCGUGGAGCUGAUGACAGAGGGUAACAGAAGAAACAACCCAGUUUUGGUGCAAGUUUAUCUGUCACAGCUAAGCUGGCUUCCAAAGGAUAGUAUCCUUUGCACUAGAAGCAACACUUGCAGAAAAGUUUUGUCAACUGGAAAAACUGAGAUAUGCUCUGAGCUCCUAUGUGCCAAGCUCUGGGUUAUAUAUCCUGCCUGCUCUCUAUACUUUAAUUCUGUAAAUAAAGUUUGUUUUUUCUUUUUCACUGUAAAAUUAAUUCAUGCUUCUUAUAAAUGGCCAGAAAAAUCACAAGUCGACAGAAGAAAAAGAAGUUAUUUUUAGCCUCAGGAAUAUAAGAUGACUGUUGUCAACAUCUUAAUAUUUUUUUCUAGUCUUUAAUCUACUAAUAUGAGCAUUGGUGAAACAGUGAUUAUAUAUCACAUUAUAUAUUCAAUCCUGUAAUACUCUCAACCAGAGGUUGGCAAACUAUGGCCUGCACGCCAAAUCUGGAACGCUGCCUCUUCUUGUAAAUAAAAAUGUAUUGGGAAACAGUUGUGCUCAUUCAGUUACGUAUUGUUCAAUUAUGUAUUGUCUACGGUUGCUUUUGCAUGACAGUGGCAGAGCUGAGUAACUGACUUGGAGAGCCAUGUAAGAGACUGUAUGGUUCACAAAGCCUAAAAUAGUUACUGUCAAGCCCUUUACAGAAAAAGUUUUCCAACCCCUGCCCUAAGCAAAUGGCAACUGAACAUACUGACUGCAGGUGCAGGAUUCCCACCUUCCCCCC
rnacentral:lncRNA from 1 species